CCAUACUUCGAAAAGAUUGCCUCCACAUCAGAUUUCUUGACCACGAGAGUGUUGAGAUUCCUAAUGAACACACAGGAGUUCAUGGAGCGAGGAUCUGUCUUGUUGGUAAUGUUGCUGGCCAUUGUGUUUGAUGAUAAGGUUUCUCACAAAGCCAAAAACAGAAGGGAGAAGAGAUUCGAUUCUGAGUCUCCUACUCCCGAUUGUACAUGGAGAAGCCGACCGCUGCUCGAGGUCGGCAACGCGGACACAACCGCUCAGUCUUCGUCUCUUCACAAAAUGCUUUUUUUUUUUUUUUUUUUUUUAUGAUGGGGUUUUACCAUGUUGGCCAGGCUGGUCUUGAACUCCUGACCUCAGGUGAUCCACCCACCUCGGCCUCCCAAAGUGCUAGGAUUACAGGCGUGAGCCACCGCGCCUGGCCGAAAGUAUAUUCUUUAUAGUUCGGAAUUAUACUUUCUAAAUUUGGAAUGUACAUGGAGAGAGCAUUUAAGUUUAGCCUUUUUGUGCUGUUUAGUAGUUUUUCUACUUUUAACUCUAUUUAAAAAUUUUAAACUGUGAGAAUUUGCUUUUCCAUUUGCUACUUUAUCUCUUCCACAUCUGUUGUUCAGUUGUGGAGUACUAAUCUCAGAAGAAACAUAAGUAAUUCAGAUUAAAUUAGCAGGGCAUGGUGAUGCACACCUGUAAUCCCAGCUUCUCGGGAGGCUGAGGCAGAAGAAUCACUUGAAUCUGGGAGAUGGAGGUUGCAGUGAACCAAGAUUGUGCCACUGCACUCUAUCAGGCUGGGUGACAGAGUGAGACUGUCUCAAAAAAAGAAAAGAAGAAAGAAAUUUGCUAUAUUAAGAAUCUAGUUGAAACUAAAAUUUCAUAUUUACAAUUUAUGGGCCACUUGAAGAGAAAGUGGUUUGUAUGUACAGUCCAACUCUGGACAUUGUGGGCUCUUUUUUUAUUGUCUCUAUAUUUUUAAUAUGAGUAUGUAUUUUUUAGUAAUUUUUAGGAAUGUGACUUGUUACUGAGCACUAAUGCUUAUUUUGACAUCAUUUUUGGCAUUUUUCAUUUUUGCCACUUUAAAUGUAUCAGAGUUUAAAUUCCUUUCUUAGCUCAUCGUUAAAGUGUUCUGCUUCUUAGGAAGAAAUGAAACUAGGACACUACUGUCUUUUUCUAGAUACACACUAAUGGAUGUGGAAGCUAAGUGCUGUACUCUUGAGAUCUGGGUGGCACUGUCCAUGUGUGUAGGAGAUAGGGUGGGUUCAAGAGAAGUGUGGGCUUUUAUGUAACUGGUCUCCAAAAGUCCCAAAAUGUUUUUAUAUGUUGCCUGCUGACUGCUCUGACUGUCACAUAGAUCUGGAGAGGAGAAAUUUCUUCAAACUCUAGUUUUGUCUAAAAGGAGCUUUGUUUGUCCCAGGAGAAUUUAGGUAUCAUUCUGCUUACCAACAUGUAAUGUGCAUGUGUAUCUCUUUUAAAAUAAUUAUUUUACAUUAGUUUUACUUUCCUUUUGCAGACUAAAUAGGAAUAAACGUUAUUAUUUUUUGAGAUGAAGUUUUGCUCUUGUUGCCCAGGCUGGAGUGCAGUGGGGCGAUUGCAUCUCACUGUAAUCUCUGCCUCCCAGGUUCAAGAUCACACCACUGCACUCCGGCUUGGGUGACAGAUUGAGACCUUGUCCAAAAAAUAUAAAAGGCAUACUCUGUUCCUAGAUGUUUCAUAAGUUUAUUGGUGUUUUAUGGUUUGAGAUGCUAGCUUUCUGGCGGUGUUGAAGCCACAACAAAACAAACUGUAUGCAUAUACAAAUGUUUCAAUUUUUACUUAGAAGCAAAUUUGAGUCAUUAGAAAAGUAUGUAAUACCUUAAAUAUUCAUUAUAUAAAUCAUCUUGUUAGGAAUAAGUACCUUAAAUAAGUAUAUUUUGAAUAUAAAACUGAAAGUAUGAUUUUCCCACCAUUAUAUUAUAGUAAUUGGCAUUAAGUGUUGCAUAUUUAAAUUAUUAAUUGCAAAUGACGUCAUACAUUAAUCUAACUUUGUUGAUUAUCAGGCAAAAACAUGGUGAAUAAAGAAGUGCCCCUCUUUUUGUAUUACAGAGGAAGUUAGCAUAUUUGUGAAUGUCCAUGAUAUUAAACUGGUAGAAAAGAUUAGAGGGAGGGAGCGAGUGAGUGACAGUCAAUUACCAGUUUCUGCUUCAACUAAUUUUUAAUUUUUAUCAUACUUAUGAACCCCCGCAAACUAAAGAUUUAUCUAAAUUGUCUUUUUUCUUUGUUGGCUUUAUUGAGGUGAAAUUCAAAUAAUACAAACUAGCGAUUAUAGAGUGUGUAUUUCAUUGGCAUUUAACACAUUCACAGUGUUGCACAACUACCACCUGUAUCAGGUUUCAGGACAUUUUUAUAAUUCCAAAAGGAAACCCCUAGGAGAGCACUCACUCUCCUUUACCUUCUCUUAUCCCCAAUAAACCACAAUUCUGCUUUCUGUCUCUAUGGAUUUACCUAUUUUGGAUAUUUUAUAUAAAUGAAGUGGUAUAGUAUUGUGAUUUCUCAUGUUCGGCUUGGUACUUUUAAGGUUCAUUCACAUCAUAGCAUAUGUCACUACUUCAUUGCUUUUUAUGACUAAUAAUAUUUCAUGUAUAUAACACAUUUUUAAAUCCAUUCAUCUGUUGAUGAACAUUUCAAAAGACUGUCCCACCUUUUGGCUUUUGUGAAUAGUGCUGCCAUCAGUAUUUGUUUACAAGUAUCUCUGUUUGAAUACCUGUUUUUAAUUCUUUUGUUUUGUUUUGUUUUGUUUUGUAUUUUUGAAAUGGAGUCUUCCUCUGUUACCCAGUCUGGAGUGCAGUGGUGUGAUCUUGGCUCACUGCAACCUCCGCCAAACAAUUUUUCUUCCUGAGCCUCCCGAGUAGCUGGGAUUAUAGGUGCCUGCCACCACACCCUGCUAAUUUUUGUAUUUUUAGUACAGACAGGGUUUCAUCAUGGUGGUCAGACUGGUCUUGAACUCCUGACCUUGUGAUCCUCCUGCCUCGGCCUCCCAAAGUACUGGGGUUACAGGUGUGAGCCACUGCGCCUGGCCUGUUUUAAAUUCUUUUAGGUAUAUACCUAAGAGUGGAAUUGCUGGGUCAGUGGCAAUUCUAUGUUCAAGUUCUUUAGGAACUGACAAAUGUUUUCCACAGUGACUUCACCAUUUUAUAGUUCCACCAGCAAUAUACGAGGAUUCGUCUGUCUCUUAGCUGUCACUUGCCAUUUUCCCUUUUUAAAAAAUAGCCAUCCUAGUAGGUAUGAAGUGCUAUCUCAUUGUGGUUUGAUUUGUAUUUCCAUGAUUGCCAAAGAGGAUGAUCAUUUUUCAUGUGCUUAUUGGUCAUUGUAUUUCUUCCUUGGAGAAAUAUCUACUUAAGUCCUAUGCCCAUUUUAAAAUUGGGUUGUCUUUUUUGUUGUUGAGUUGUAAGAGUUCUGUAUAUAUUUCUGGCCAUUAAUCCCUUACCAGAUAUGUGAUUUGCAAGUAUUUCCUCCCAUUCUGUAGGUUGUCUUAACUUACUUACUUACUUACUUUCUUUCUUUCUUUCUUUCUUUCUUUCUUUCUCUUUCUUUCUUUCUUUCUCUCUCUCUUUCUUUCUUUCCUUCCUUCCUUCUUUCUUUUUCUUUCUUUCGUUCUUUUUUUUUUUUUUUUUUUGAGAUGGAGUCUUACUCUAUUGCCCAGGCUGGAGUGUAGUAGCACGAUCUCGGCUCACUGUAACUUCCAUCUUCCGGGUUCAAGCAAUUCUCCUGUCCCAGCCUUUUGAGUAGCUGGGGCUACAGGUGCAUGCUACUGCACCUGGCUAAUUUUGGUAUUUUUAGUAGAAAUGGGGUUUUGCCAUAUUGGUCAGGCUGAUCUUGACAUUCUGACCUCAGGUGAUCCACCCACCUCUGCCUCCCAAAGUGCUGAGAUUGCAGGCACCUACCAACACGCCUUCUAAUUUUUUGUAUUUUUAGUAGAGAUGGGGUUUUGCCAUGUUGGCCAGACUGGUCUAGAACUCCUGACCUCAAGUAAUCCACCCACUUCGGCUUUCCGAAGUGCUAGGAUUACAGCGGUGAGCCACUGCACUUGGCCCAUAGUAUUCUCUUAUCUUUUUCUGUAAGGUAAUUAGUAAUGUCUUUACGAAAUUGGCUUUUAAAUAGAGCUUUUAAUUUUUUUGUUGUUGUUAGGUUAUUUCUUGAUUUGAUAUGUUUUUGACACAGUCAGCUUUGUUUCACUUGCUUCCGAAGGUGGGGGAAUUGAAAACAAAUCAGAAAUACAACAUCUAAAGGUUGCUUUGUACUGGAUUCUCUGUAUAUCAAUUCAGAGAAAGGUUCAUCAGACCCCCAGACCAUCUUUCUGCUCUAUCAGUUAUAGAAACAUUUGAGAGAGGGCCAGGUGCGGUGGCUCACACCUGUAAUCCCAGCACUUUGGGAGGCCGAGGCGGGUGGAUCCUGAGGUCAAGAGAUCGAGACCAUCCUGGUCAACAUGGUGAAACCCCGUCUCUACUAAAAACACAAAAAAUCAGCUGGGCAUGGUGGUGCGUGCCUGUAAUCCCAGCUACUCAGGAGGCUGAGGCAGGAGAAUUGCCUGAACCCAGGAGGCGGAGGUUGCGGUGAGCCGAGAUCGUGCCAUUGCACUUCAGCCUGGGUAACAAGAGCGAAACUCCAUCUCCAAAAAAAAGGAAACAUUCGAGAGAAAGAUUAUUAUCAAAAAAAGGUAUUUCAUGUAUAAUUUUGUGUAGUCUGUACCUUUCUGAAUCUUGUGGUAUAAGACACUUGAUGUAAUUUAUAUUAUCGAAUCGUCCACUUGCUUGCUAUUAGUUGUAUUUCUUUAAAUUAGGUUUUUUUGCCAGUAGUUUCAGCUACUUGCAAGGCUGAGGUGGAAGGUUUGUUUGAGUCUAGGAGUUCUAGUUCAGUCUGGGCAACAUAGCAAGACCCUGUCUCUAAAAAAAAAUAAUAAAAAAUGUUUAGACUGGGCAUGGAGGCUCAUACCUAUAAUCCCAGCACUUUGGGAGGCCACAGUUGGAGGAUCUCUUGAGGCCAGGAGUACAAGACCAACCUGGGAUACAGAAAAUUAAAAACAAAUUAUCUGGGCAUGACAAUGCAAGCCUAUAGUCCUUGCUAGUUGGGAGGCUGAGCUGGGAGGAUCACUUGAGCCCAGAAGGUUGAGGCUGCAGUGAGAUAUAAUUGCAUUACUGUAUAACAGCUUGGGCAACAGAGUGAGACUCUGUCUCAAAGGAAAAAAAAAAGGUUUAUAUUUACAUUUUUUUCUGGGUGACUGUGCCUGUGUUAGGUUUAUGCCUGAGAAAGAAGGGUCUAUAGUCUUAAUAAUUUUACAGAGAACAUAUCCUGCAAAUGGUAAGAGAUCCAUAUGAAUGCAUUAAUGAGUAAAUUAAAACAUCUGAAAAUGUAACAACAGCAAAAUUUUAAGAUGGCUUUUGGAGAGAGUUAAACAUUUUGGUCUAAUUUGUAGGCAGUUACAUGAAAUAUCCUUGUUUUUUUGAGAUGGAGUCUCGCUCUGUUGCCCAGGCUGGAGUGCAGUGAUGUGAUCUCAGCUCACUGUAAUCUCUGUGUUUCAGGUUCAGGCAGUUCUCCUGUCUCAGCUUCCUGAGUUGCUGGGAUUAUAGGCAUGUGAUCCCUGUAAGUCCCCUGCAAAAAAAAAAAAAAAAAAAAUCAGAGAGAAAAGUGACCUUGCAUUAUUUCUAUUACAAAAGUAAUUCCAGAUAUGUUAUAGAAAAUUUAGAAAAUACAGGGGCCAGGCACAGUGGCUCAUGCCUAUAAUCCAAGCAUUUUGGGGGGGCCAAUGCAGGAGGAUUGCCUGAGGCCAGGAGUUUUGAGACCAGCCUAAGCAAUAUAGCAAAACCCUUACUCUACAAAAAAAAAAAAAAAAGAGGUGCAGUGUUGCAUGCAUGUAGUCCCAGGUACUUGGGAGGCUGAGGUGGGAGGGUUGCUUAUUUCCAGGAGUUUGAGGUUACAGUGAGCUAUGAUUGGGCCACUGCAUUCCAGCCUGGGCAACAGAGAGAGGGAGCCUGUCUUAAAAGCACACACACGUACACACACACACACACCCACUCACCCACCCACCUACCCAGAAAAGAUUUAGAAAGUGUAGCUAAAUACAAAGCUGAAAUAAGUCACUUGUUAUCCUGAUAUAAUCUUUUUUAAACUUUUUUCUGUGUAUAAAAAUGAGAUUAAUAUAUAGGUAUGUGUAUAUAUGCACACAUAUAUACCCAUAUGGAUAUGUAUACAUGUAUAUGUAUGUGUAUAUAUGUAUAUACACACGUAUAUGUAUGUGUGUAUACAUUCACAUGUGUAUGUAUAUACACACGUGUAUAUAUGUAAAUUAUUAUAUAUUAUGGCUUUGUAGCCUGUUUAAUUCACUUAACAGUAAGUCUAACAUGGGAAAUACUGAAAUAUUGGUGAUUAGGAAUCCUGCCAGAAAGUUUCCUGUGUAUUUAAUAUAAUCUUAUUUAUCAAAUGGCCAGCUGGAUGUAGUGACUAGAUUUUUCUGUAUAUGAAAUAGACAUUAUUGGAAAAAUUGGUUUGUCCAUAUCAUUUAUCUAAAAUCACAUUAUUAGUAUUAAUAAUACCUAUUACGCAUAUACGAUAGUCUACUUACCCACCUGUAUGGUAUUUUAAACUUCUUAGUAGUUUAUCAACCAUUUUUUAAACUUUUACUUUAAAAUUAACAAUAUUAUUAUAAAUAUGAUGUAAACUGAAUCAGAAUUUUAAAAGUAUUUUCUAGUUUAUGAGAAGAAAGAGUUAAAAAUGGAAUGGAAAUGUGCUCUUUAGAGAACAUAUUUACUAUCUAAAAUUCUGUGAUGGACAGCAUUGACAUUUGAAUGAAAACAAAAACAAAUAGACAUUGAAUUGUGAAACAAAUAGAACACUUAGUUUAUAGGUUAGGAAUUUUUGGGCAAGCAUGGAGAUUGGAAUGCAAGGAUAUGGAGUGAGGAGUAGUUUUGUUAACAGGGAAACAGUUGAAAGGAAAGGCGGUCUCCUUUGUAAUUAAUCUGACACUUCUUGGGGGACUUGUCACUGCAGUUUGGUCACUAACAGAACAGAGGCUGCCCAUUAAUUAACUGGGGGGUUUGCUACCAGGAGGUGUCCACAAUACUGGAAAUCUGCUCUUACUAUUAGUGGCAGAUAGUGCAGGAUUUAGGGAAUUCUGGAUCAGGAUAUCAGCAUGAGAGCUCCUUAGCAUAGUUCUACCAUUCCAUGGUGGAAGUGUUUGCAGUCUGCCCCAGUUGGGUAUAGAAAUCUUUGGGCCCCUUGGUGUUACUUGAAGCCAGAAGGAGCUCAGAUCUGCAGAUGCAUCCUAUUCCCAUAUUUCCCCUGCAAAGGAUUUUCAUCAUUCCUUUUUUUAUAGAUGAGGAAACUGGCUCAGAGAGAUGUUCAUUGGUUUGAGAAUGCUCCCAGAAAUUCUGCUUCAUUCUUUCUGGGUCAGCCUUUGAAGGGACUUAAUUUUAAUUAAUUAAUUAAUUAAUUAAUUUAUUUAGAGAAUGAGGUCUCGCUAUAUUGCUCAGGCAGGUCUUGAACUCCUGGGCUCAAGCUGUCCUCCCGAGUCUGCCUCCCUAAGAGCUGGGAUUACAGGGGUGAGCCACAGCGCCCUGCUGGGUCUUAAUUUUUAUUAAGCACAGUAGCUGAUUCUAUUCUGUUUGGCUCUUGAACCACAGUUUGAGACACACAGGUAGAAUUCUUGACUCUUGGUUGGUCAUUGUGAGUUUUUACUUCUAUUUUAUUUUUUUCUCCAGAAAUAUGCUUACUCAUUAUGUGUUUUGAUUCAUCUUGUCUAAGUAUCCUGGUCAGUCUCUCAUUCUUCCGAGGCCUCAGAUGACUCUCCAAUAUAAUAUUUGAAGAUAGAAGUCAUAAUAAUUUCAUGAUUACUUUUUGUACUCUACAUAAACAGUUUUUUUAAAAAGUGUGUUUGUGUUUAGUGGGAAAAAAACCUCUCAUUAAAAAUCCUCCCACUAAACACAAACACUCAUUUUCAAAAAUCUAUUAAGUUUUAUUAAGAAAUUUUAUAUAUAUAUAUAUAUAUUUUAAGAUGUAGUCUUGCUCUGUCACCCAGGCUGAAGUGCAGUGGCAUCAUCUCGGCUCACUGCAACCUCUGCCUCCCAGGUUCAAAUGAUUCUCCUGCCUUAGCCUCCUGAGUAGCUAGGACUACAGGUGUAUAUCACUAUGCCUGGCUAAUGGGGUUUCACCAUGUUGGCCAGGCUCAUCUCAAACUCCUGACCUCGUGGUCCACCUGCCUCAGCCUCCCAAAGUGCUGGGAUUACAGACGUGAGCUACUGUGCCCAGCCAGAAAUUAUACUUUUAUUAGUCUCAGCAUGGUGGCUCAUGCCUGUAGUCCCACACUUUUGGAGGCUGAGUUAGGUGGAUCACUUGAGCCAGGAUUUUGAGACCAGCUUGGGCAACAUCAUGAAACCUUGUCUCUAUAAAAAAUAAUUAGCCAGAUGUGGUGGUGCAUGCCUGUAGUCCCCACUUACUUGGGAGGCUGAUGUAGGAGGAUUGCUUGAGCCUGGGUGGUCGAGGCUGUAGUGAGUUGUAAUUGUGCAAGUGCGCUACAGCCCAGGUGACACAGCAAGACGCUAUCUCAAAGAAAAAAUUAAACGUUUAUUAAAAAUAGUUACUAUUGAUUGGUAAAUGAUUGCAAUCUAUUAAUAUUUCUCACACAGCAAUUUUUAUUUAAUGAAAUUAUGUCAAUAACUACAAAAUAAUUUAGUAUGCAUUAUUAUUUCUGUCUUAUAGAACAAAGUCCUGUAUUCUAUAUUUUUAAAGCCUUUUUUAAUUAUAAAAAUACUUGGUUAUUAUAGAAAAAAUUUGAACAUACAGAGAUGACAAAAGAAAGUAUUCAUAAUUUGACACCCCAGAAUAAUCACUGAAAUGUGGCAGUGUUUACUCAGUUGUUUUCAACCUAAAUACAAUAUUAUUUCCAAAGAUUUUAUUUUAUUUCUCUUUCUUUUUUUUCCUUUUUUUUUUUGUUUUUGAGGUAGUCUUGCUCUGUUGCCCAGGCUGCUGUGCAGUGGCACGAUCUCAGCUCACUGCAACCUCUGAUUCCCUGGUUUAUGUGAUUGUCCUGCCUCAGCUUUUUGAGUAGAUGGGACUACAGGUGGUCACCACCACGCCUGGCUAAUUUUUGUAUUUUUAGUAGAGAGGGAGUUUUCCCAUGUUAGCCAGACUGGUCUUGAACUCCUGACUUCAAGCAAUUCACCCACCUCGGCCUCCAAAGUGCUGGGAUUAUAGAUGUGAGCCACCAUGCCCAGCCAGACCUAGUUUUAAUGGCAAAUAGUUAUUAAAGACAGAGUUCAUACUUACUAUAUGUCUUUCAGAAGGGUGUCUACUUGGAUCUCUAAUGACAGAUUGUGAAAUAACCGGUAGCAGUAACUAACACUGGCUGGUGAGAACUUAGUAAAAUUCUGUGCAUCCUAAAAUAAGUCUCUAUUUAAACAGUGGAGGUAUACAGAGCCAUUUGUUAAUGUAUUAUGUGGGCAUGAAGGGAUGAUAUUUGGAAAGAGGUGCUAACUGCAUGUAGACUUGUGAGAAUUUUUGCUAGUUUUUUCACUUUUUGAAUGAGGAGAUUGGGCCAGUUGAGCUCUUGUUUGUUUAGUACUUUGGGAAAGGGUGAAAAGAGUUUACUUUUAGCAAAUAUAUGUUUAAUAUGUGUUAUUCGAUUUAAUGCUUAACCACUUCAUAUAAGGUAAGUGUUUUAUCCUCUUUUUUUUUUUGAGACGGGGUUUUGCCUUUGUUGCCCAGGCUGGAGAGCAGUGGUGCAAUCUCGGCUCACUGCAACCUCUGCCUCCCGCGUUCAAGUGAUCCUCCUGCCUCAGCCUCCCGAGUAGCUGGGAUUACAGGCAUGUAAUGUCUGGCUAAUUUUGUAUUUUUAGUAGAGAUGGGGUUUCUCCAUGUUCAUCAAGCUGGUCUCAAACUUCUGAUCUCAGGUGAGCUGCCUGCCUCGGUCUCCCAAAGUGCUAUCCUCAUUUUUAAAAGUUUAAUUUAAUUUAAUUUGAUUGUAAGUUUCGAGGUACAUGUGCAAGAUGUGCAGGUUUGUUACAUAGGUAAAUGUGUGCCAUGGUGGUUUCCGGCACCUGUCAACUGAUCGCCUAAGUAUUAAGCCUAGCUUGCAUUAGCUAUUCUUCCUAAUGCUCUCCCCCCCGCACCCCCGCAACCCCCUGACAGGCCAGUGUGUGGUGUUCCCCUCCCUUUGUCUGUGUGUUCUCAUUGUUCAGCUCCCACCUGUAAGUGAGAACACCCAGUGUUUGGUUUUCUGUUCCUGCAUUAGUUUACUGAGGAUAAUGGCUUCUAGCUUCAUCCAUGUCCUGGCAAAAGACGUGAUCUCAUUCCUUCUUAUCCUCAUUUUUAUAGAUGAGGAAACUUUAGGUCACAUACCUAGGUAUUUCUGGCUUUGUUUUCAUUUCUUUCCCUUACAUUUACUGUGUUCUGAUUUCUAAUACUCUUUCCGACUCUAAAGUUGUGAUUCUAUGACAGUGGAAAGAACAGUGUAAUAAACUCCAUUUACCUGUUACUGAACUGCAAAAUUGUUAUCCUAUGGUCGACUUGUUUCAUCUGUGUCCCUUUAUAGUUGUCUCCCAACAUUAUUUUCUCCCACCACAUUAUUUUGACACACGUGUCACCAUAUCCUUUCUUCCUCUUCUUCUUCCCUUCCUUUGUUCCCUUUCCCUUUCCCUUCUUUUCUUGAUGGAGUUUUGCUCUUUUUGCCCAGGCUAGAGUGCAGUGGUACAGUCUUGGUUCACUGUAACCUCUGCUUCUUGAGUUUGAGCGAUUCUCCUGCCUCAGCCUCCCAAGUAGUUGGGAUUAUAGGCAUGCGCCACCACACCUGGCUAAUUUUGUAUUUUUAGUAGAGAUAGGGUUUCAUCAUGUUGGCCAGGCUCGUCUCAAACUCCUGACCUCAGGUUAUCCACACACCUUGGCUUUGCAAAGUGUUGGGAUUAUGGGUGUGAGCCACCAUGCUCGGCCUCCCCGUAUUAUUUCAUCUCUAGACAUUUCAGUAUAUAGCUCUAAAAGAUAGAAACUUCAACACCUGUGAAAAGAAAGGAAUAAAAAUAAAAACAUAAACUAUUUUGUAAAAAUUUUAAACAUAACCACAAUACUAUUAUCACUGUAAGAACAACAACAUUAAUUCCUUCCUGCUUACUCAGUGAUUGUCAUAAUUUAUUUUUAAACUGACUGUUUGAGAUUCAUGUAAGGCCCAUACAUUUUAAUUAGUUGGUAUGUCUGUUAAGUUCUUUAAUCUACACAUUUCACCUCUAUCUCACUUUCUCAUUUCCCUGCAUUAAAAAAAAAAGUGUGAAAAAGAAAAAAACAAAACAAAAAAAAUGUGCGUGUGUAUUUCUGUGUGUGUAUGUAUAAAGAAACUGGAUCUUUUCACUUCUAAAUGUCCUCAUACCGUGGAGAUUGUGAUGGUGUUCAAUGUUUUUCUGUCUCAUGUAUUUUCUACAAUUUGGUAAUUUGAUUUAGAGUAUUACUGUCUAAUAUAAUGUAAUCCAUAAAGUUAAGCCAUAUAUCAUUUGAAUUUUUCCAUAUAUACUUUUUUAUUUAUUUUUUAAAAUUUUUUAUUGCAUUUUAGGUUUUGGGGUACAUGUGCAGAACAUGCAAGACAGUUACAUAGGUACACACAUGGCAGUGUGUUUUGCUUCCUUUCUCCCCUUCACCCACAUUUGGCAUUUCUCCCUAGGCUAUCCCUCCCCAGCUCCCCCACUCCCUGCUGGUCCUCCCCUUUUCCCCCCAAUAGACCCCAGUGUUUAGUACUCCCCUCCCUGUGUCCAUGUGUUCUCAUUUUUCAUCACCCGCCUAUGAGUGAGAAUAUGCGGUAUUUCAUUUUCUGUUCUUGUGUCAGUUUGCUGAGAAUGAUGUUCUCCAGAUUCAUCCAUGUCCCUACAAACGACACAAACUCAUCAUUUCUGAUUGCUGCAUAAUAUUCCAUGGUGUAUAUGUGCCACAUUUUCCCAAUCCAGUCUAUCAUCAAUGGGCAUUUGGGUUUGUUCCAGGUCUUUGCUAUUGUAAACAGUGCUGCAAUGAACAUUUGUGUGCAUGUGUCCUUAUAGUAGAACAAUUUAUAGUCCUUUGGAUAUAUACCCAGUAAUGGGAUUGCUGGGUCAAAUGGAAUUUCUAUUUCUAAGGCCUUGAGGAAUCGCCACACUGUCUUCCACAAUGAUUGAACUAAUUUACACUCCCCCCAACAGUGUAAAAGUGUUCCUUUUUCUCCACAUCCUCUCCAGCAUCUGUUGUCUCCAGAUUUUUUAAUGAUUGCCAUUCUAACUGGCAUGAAAUAGUAUCUCAAUGUGGUUUUGAUUUGCAUCUCUCUAAUGACCAGUGAUGAUGAGCAUUUUUUCAUAUGAUUGUUGGCCUCAUACAUGUCUUCUUUUGUAAAGUGUCUGUUCAUAUCCUUUGCCCAUUUUUGAAUGGGCUUGUUUUUUUCCUGUAAAUCUGUUUGAGUUCUUUGUAAAUUCUGGAUGUCAGCCCUUUGUCAGAUGGGUAAACUGCAAACAUUUUUUCCCAUUCUGUUGGUUGCUGAUUCACUCUAGUGACUGUUUCUUUUGCCAUGCAGAAGCUGUGGAGUUUGAUUAGGUCCCAUUUGUCUAUUUUGGCUUUCGUUGCCAGUGCUUUUGGUGUUUUGGUCAUGAAGUCCUUGCCUACUUCUAUGUCCUGAAUGGUUUUUGCCUAGAUUUUCUUCUAGGGUUUUUAUGGCGCCAGGUCUUAUGUUUAAGUCUUUAAUCCAUCUGGAGUUAAUUUUAGUGUAAGGUGUCAGGAAGGGGUCCAGUUUCUGCUUUCUGCACAUGGCUAGCGAGUUUUCCCAACACCAUUUAUUGAACAGGGAAUCCUUUCCCCAUUGCUUGUUUUUGUCAGGUUUAUCAAAGAUUGUAUGGUUGUAGAUAUGUUGUGUUGCCUCCGAUGCCUCUGUUUUGUUCCAUUGGUCUAUAUCUCUGUUUUGGUACCAUACCAUGCUGUUUUGAUUACUGUAGCCUUGUAGUAUAGUUAGAAAUCCGGUAGUGUGAUGCCCCCCGCUGUGUUCUUUUUGCUUAGAAUUGACUUGGCUAUGCGGGCUCUCUUUUGGUUCCAUAUGAAGUUCAUGGUGGUUUUUUCCAGUUCUGUGAAGAAAGUCAAUGGUAGCUUGAUGGGGAUAGCACUGAUUCUGUAAAUUACUUUGGGCAGUAUAGCCAUUUUCACGAUAUUAAUUCUUCCUAACCAUGAACAUGGAAUGUUUCUCCAUCUGUUUGUGUCCUCUCUUAUUUCGUUGAGCAGUGGUUUGUAGUUUUCCUUGAAGAGAUCCUUUACGUUCCUUGUGAGUUGUAUUCCAAGGUAUUUUAUUCUUUUUGUAGCAAUUGUGAAUGGCAGUUCAUUCUUGAUUUGGCUUUCUUUAAGUCUGUUAUUUGUGUAGAGGAAUGCUUGUGAUUUUUGCACAUUGAUUUUAUAUCCUGAGACUUUGCUGAAGUUGCUUAUCAGUUUUAGGAGUUUUGGGCUGAGGCGAUGGGGUCUUCUAGAUAUACUAUCAUGUCGUCUGCAAAUAGAGGCAAUUUGGCUUCCACCUUUCCUAUUUGAAUACCUUUGUUUCUUUUUCUUGCCUGAUUGCUCUGGCUAGAACUUUCAGUACUGUAUUGAAUAGGAGUGGUGAGAGAGGGCAUCCUUGUCUAGUGCCGGAUUUCAAAGGGAAUGCUUCCAGUUUUUGCCCAUUUAGUAUGAUAUUGGCUGUUGGUUUGUCAUAAAUAGCUUUUAUUACUUUGAGAUAUGUUCAUCAAUACCUAGUUUAUUGAGGGUUUUUAGCAUAAAGGGCUGUUGAAUUUUGUCAAAUGCCUUCUCUGUGUCAAUUGAGAUAAUCAUGUGGUUUUUGUUUUUGGUUCUGUUUAUGUGGUGAAUUACGUUUAUAGACUUGCGUAUGUUGAACCAGCCUUGCAUCCCCGGGAUGAAUCCUACUUGAUCAUGAUGGAUAAAUUUUUUGAUUUGCUGUUGCAAUCGGCUUGCCAAUAUUUUAUUGAAGAUUUUUGCAUCUAUGUUCAUCAUGGAUAUUGGCCUGAAGUUUUCCUUUUUUGUUGGGUCUCUGCCGGGUUUUGGUAUCAGGAUGAUGUUGGUCUCAUAAAAUGAUUUGGGAAGGAUUCCCUCUUUUUGGAUUAUUUGGAAUAGUUUCAGAAGGAAUAGUACUAGCUCCUCUUUGUGUGUCUGGUAGAAUUUGUCUGUGAACCCAUCUGGACCUGGGCUUUUUUUGUGUGGUAGGCUCUUAAUUGCUGCCUCAACUUCAGACCUUGUUAUUGGUCUAUUCAUAGUUUCAGCUUCCUCCUGGUUUAGGCUUGGGAGGACACAGGAGUCCAGGAAUUUAUCCAUUUCUUCCAGGUUUACUAGUUGAUGUGCAUAGAGUUGUUUGUAAUAUUCUCUGAUGAUGGUUUGAAUUUCUGUGGAAUCUGUGGUGAUUUCCCGUUUAUCAUUUUGUAUUGCAUCUAUUUGGUUGUUCUCUCUUUUCUUUUUAAUCAAUCUGGCUAGUGGUCUGUCUAUUUUGUUGAUCUUUUCAAAAAACCAGCUCUUGGAUUUAUUGAUUUUUUUGAAGGGUUUUUCGUGUCUUUAUCUCCUUCAGUUCAGCUCUGAUCUUAGUUAUUUCUUGUCUUGUGCUGGGUUUUGAGUUUUUUUGAUCUUGCUCCUCUAGCUCUUUCAAUUUUGACGAUAGGGUGUCAAUUUUGGAUCUCUCCAUUCUCCUCAUAUGGGCACUUAUUGCUAUAUAUUUUCCUCUAGAGACUGUGUUAAAUGUGUCCCAGAGAUUCUGGCAUGUUGUGUCUUCGUUCUCAUUGGUUUCAAAGAACUUCUUUAUUUCUGCCUUUAUUUCAUUGUUUAUCCAGUCAACAUUCAAGAGCCAGUUGUUCAGUUUCCAUGAAGCUGUGUGGUUCUGGGUUGGUUUCUGAAUUCUGAGUUCUAACUUGAUUGCACUAUGGUCUGAGAGACUGUUUGUUAUGAUUUCAGUUGUUUUGCAUUUGCUGAGGAGUGCUUUACUUCCAAUUAUGUGGUCAAUUUUAGAGUAGGUGUGAUGUGGUGCUGGGAAGAAUGUAUAUUCUGUGGAUUUGGGGUGGAGAGUUCUGUAAAUGUCCACCAGGUUUGCUUGUUCCAGGUCUGAGUUCAAGCCCUGGAUAUCCUUGUUGAUUUUCUGUCUGGUUGAUCUGUCUAUUAUUGACAGUGGAGUGUUAAAGUCUCCCACUAUUAUUGUGUGGGAGUCUAAGUCUCUUUGUAAGUCAUUAAGAACUUGCCUUAUGUAUCUGGGUGCUCCUGUAUUGGGUCCAUAUAUGUUUAGGAUCGUUAGCUCUUCUUGUUGUAUCGAUCCUUUUAUCAUUAUGUAAUGGCCUUCUUUGUCUCUUUUGAUCUUUGUUGCUUUAAAGUCUAUUUUAUCAGAGAUGAGGAUUGCAACUCCAGCUCUUUUUUGCUCUCCAUUUGCUUGGUAAAUCAUCCUCCAUCCCUUUAUUUUGAGCCUUUGUGUAUCCUUGCAUGUGAGAUGGGUUUCCUGGAUACAGCACACUGAUGGGUUUUGGUUUUUUAUCCAAUUUGCCAGUCUGUGUCUUUUGAUUGGUGCAUUUAGUCCAUUUAUAUUUAGGGUUAAUAUAGUUAUGUGUGAAUUUGAUACUGCCAUUUUGAUGCUAGCUGGCUGUUUUGCCCGUUAGUUGAUUCUUCAUUAUGUUGAUGCUCCUUAGCAUUUAGUGUGAUUUUGGAAUGGGUGGUACUGGUUGUUCCUUUCUAUGUGUAGUGCCUCUUUCAGGAGCUCUUGUAAAGCAGGCCUGGUGGUGACAAAAUCUCUGAGUACUUGCUUGUUCGCAAAGGAUUUUAUUUUUCCUUCACUUCUGAAGCUCAGUUUGGCUGAAUAUGAAAUUCUGGGUUGAAAGUUCUUUUCUUUAAGGAUGUUGAAUAUUGGCCCCCACUCUCUUCUGGCUUGUAGAGUUUCUGCCGAGAGAUCUGCUGUGAGUCUGAUGGGCUUCCCUUUAUUGGUGACCCAACCUUUCUCUCUGGCUUUUCUUUGUAUUUUCUCCUUCAUUUUAACCCUGGUGAAUCUGAUGAUUAUGUGCCUUGGGGUUGCUCUUCUUGCGGAAUAUCUUUGUGGUGUUCUCUGUAUUUCCUGCAUUUGAGUGUUGGCCUGCCUUGCUAGGUGGGGGAAAUUUUCCUGGCUAAUAUCCUGAAGAGUAUUUUUCAGCUUGGAUUCAUUCUCUUCGUCACAUUCUGGUACACCUAUCAAAUGUAGGUUAGGUCUUUUCACAUAGUCCCACAUUUCUUGGAGACUUUGUUCAUUCCUUUUUGCGCUUUUUUCUCUGAUCUUGGUUUCUCGUUUUAUUUCAUUGAGUUGAUCUUCAACUUCUGAUAUUCCUUCUUCUGCUUGGUCAAUUCGGCUGUUGAAACUUGUGCAUGCUUCGUGAAGUUCUUGUAUUGUGUUUUUCAGCUCCUUCAAUUCAUUCAUAUUCCUCUCUAAGUUAUCCAUUCUUGUUAUCAUUUCCUCGAAUCUUUUUUCAAGGUUCUUAGUUUCUUUGCAUUGAUUUAAAACAUGUUCUUUUAGCUCACAAAAGUUUCUCAUUAUCCACCUUCUGAAGUCUAAUUCCGUCAUUUCGUCACAGUCAUUCUCCGUCCAGCUUUGCUCCCUUGCUGGUGAGGAGUUUUGGUCCUUUCUAGGAGGCGAGGUGUUCUGGUUUCAGGUGUUUUCCUCCUUUUUUCGCUGGUUUCUUCCCAUCUUUGUGGGUUUAUCCGCUUGUCGUCUGCAUUGCUGACCUUUCGAUUGGGUCUCUGAGUGGACACCCAGAUUGUUGAUGAUGAAAUAUUUCUGUUACUUGGUUUUCCUUCUACCAGCCUAGCCCCUUCGCUGUACAACUGCUGAGGUCCACUCCAGGCCCUGCUUGUCUGGGGUGCACCUGUAGCGGCUGCAGAACAGUGAGGGAUGCUACCAGUUUCUUUUUCUGCUAUCUUUGUCCCAUAAUGAUGCCUGCCAAAUGUCAGUCUUCUGGAUAUAGAGGGUCAGGGAGCUGCUUGAGGAGACAGUCUGUACUUUAUCGGAGCUCAAGUGCUGAUCUGUGAGCUCUGUUGUUCAUUCAGGGCUGUUAGGCUGCUACAUUUAAUGCUGCUGCAGCAGAACUCAUUAAAAAAACCCCUUUUUUUCUCAGAUGCUCUGUCUCGGGGGUUGGGGUUUUCUUUAUGUGUUUGUUGCGCUGUCCUGCCCAGCUAGGAGGCAGUCUAGUCACUAUUUGCCUGCCGAGGCUCCGCCCUGCUGGUGUGAGGUCCGCCCUGUUGCUGCAGGCUCUGCCCUGCUGGUGCGGUCUCUUCCCUGCUGCCAUGGGCUACGCCCUGCGGCAGAGUCUCUCUGUUGUGGCGGGUUGCCUCGGUAAUGGCAAACGCCCCUCCGCCACCGAGCUGCACUGUCCUGGGUUCAGCUGUACCCACAGUGAAACUCUCCACCUGGAGCGUUUGGAAUUGCCGUUUUGUUUGUCCCAGUGCCCUGGCCCAAAUGCCGUUUCCCUGGAAUCUCCUGUCCUGGCUCACUGUCCAAGUCCUGUUCAAUCAGAUGGAUAUGCCAAUCUGCCCUCUCAAGUCUCAGAUUGCCGGUUCAACAGGGCACCCGGACCAGUGCACUUUGUGUGGAGUGCUGUGGAGCGUCGCUGGCUGCACCAGCCAAAACCGCUUUGCUGGCAUCCCACGUCUCUUUUAUACCUGGGAAUUUCCCCGUUCUGUGGGCAACAAAGAUCCGUCUGGAAAUGCGGCCCUGACUCACCCUCCGCGCAUUCACCAAGAGCUUCAAUCCUGGGUUGUUCUCACCGUGCCAUCUUAUAUACUUUUUUAAAAAGUGAAAAGAAACAGGUAAAAUUGGUUUGAACAAUAUUUUUAUUUGACCUAAUAUAUCCAAAAUGUUAUUAUUUCAACAUAUAAUCAAUGAAAUUAAUGAGAUAUAUUGCUUUUUUUUUUGGUAUAAAUCUUGGAAAUUUGGUGUGCAUCUUAUACUUACACCACAUCUUGGUAUUAGCCACAUUUCAAAUAUCCAGUAGCAGUAUGUGGCUAGUAACUCCUGUAUUGAACAGCAUAAUAAAUAAUAACUAUGUUGUAUUUAUAUAGUUAAAUAAUAACUACUAUGACAGUUAACUGGUAUAACUUUUUUUUUAUUUUUGAGUCAGGGUCUCGCUUUGUGAUCCAGGCUGCAGUACAGUAGCAUGAUCUUGGCUCAUUGCACCUUCUGCCUCCCAGGCACAGGUGAUCUUCCCACCUCAGCCUCCUGAGUAGCUGGGGGCUAUAGGUGUGUGUAAUCAUGCCUAGCUAAUUAAAAAAAAUUUUUUUUUGUAAAGACGGAGUCUCACUAUGUUGCCCAGGCUGGUCUUGAAAUUCUGAGCUCAAGCAAUUCGCCCACCUAGGCCUCCUAAAGUGCUGGGUUUACAGGUGUGAGCCACCACACCUGGCCCAGGAUAACAUAUUUUAAAGAAUCCAUUAGUGUGCCUGGUACAUUGUAGAUACACUGUAGAUUCUGUUCUUUUCCUGUCCUCCCAGAUUGCAGUUUUUUCUGCCAUAUUGUUGCCUCUUUUUUUUUUUUUUUUUUUGAUGGAAUAUUCCUUUAUCACCCAGGCUAGAGUAGGGUGGUAAGAUCUAACCUCUGCCUGCCAGGUUCAAGCAGUUUUCCUGCCUCAGCCUGCUGAGCAGCUGGGAUUACAGGCACGUGCCACCACACUCAGCUAGUUUUUGUAUUUUUAGUAGAGAUGGGGAUUCCUUGUGUUGGCCAGGUUGAUCUCAAACUCCUGACCUCAAGUCAUCUGCCCACCUCGGCCUUCCAAAGUGCUGGGAUUAUUAUAGGCGUGAGCCACCGCACCUGGCUUCUUCCACUAAGUAUACCUAAAUUAUCUGAAAAUAAUAUGCUUUUCUUACAUUUGUUACUUUGUUUAUAGUACUUGCUUAGCAAACUUUUUUUCCUUAAUAGACUAAAAAGUUUGUUCCUUUUCCGAGUUUUUCUGGAUGACAGUUACUGAAGUUUAAAUUUAGAAGAUUUAGCCAGGCUCUGUGUCUCAUACCUGCAAUCCUAGCACUUUGGGAGUCUGAGGUGGGCUGAUCACUUGAGGCCAGGAGCUCGAGACCAGCCUGGCCAACAUGGGGAAACCCCUUCUCUACUAAAAAACAAACAUUAGCCUGGUGUGGUGGCAGGUGCCUGUAAUUAUAGUUACUUGGGUGGCUGAGGUACAAGGAUUCCUUUAACCCGGGGGGUGGAGGUUGCAGUGAGCUGAGAUCAUGCCAUUGCACUCCAGCCUGGGUAAUAGAGUGAGACUGUGUCUUUAAAAAAACUAAAAUAAAAUAAAUUGAGAAGAUGUUACUUUUCAUUUUGAAGUACUUCAUCCAAAGUAACUUUUGUUAUUAAUUCCAAUUUAUUGUAAUUAUUAAGUAUUAAUCACAAACAGUUCUUAAUCAUAUUUUGUGUGUUAGCAGGCUACAGUAUAAUUAUUUUCAUGCUUGUAUUUGGCUACGGUAAACAGGAUAGUUUGGAAAGGCCAUAAUUAAUAGGUGUUCAAAAGUUGCUUUGAUGUCCUUAGAUGAAAGCUAUGCUUCCAACACCAAAUGCUAGUAUUUUUAAUUAUCAUUCUCCUUUUUAAUUUGAAAUAAUAGCUUGAGUACUGUAGUACUCGCUACAGGAUUGUUUGCCUGUAAUGUUUCAUGUGAAUGUGCAGAGAACAUUUUAGAAAGUUUUUUUUUGAGAGAGGAUCUUGCUCUGUCACCCAGGCUGUAGUGCAGUGGCAUGAUAACGAUUCAAUGCAACCUUUUCUUCCUGGGUUCAAGCAAUUCUCAUGCCUCAGUCUCCCAAGUAGGUGGGACUACAGGCAUGCGCUGCCACACUGGCUAAUUUUUGUAUUUUUAGUAGAGAUGGAGUUUUGCCUGAUACUGAACAUAAUUGGGAGAUAAUUUGAAAAAAAAAAAGAGAGAAAUGGAGUUUCACCAUGUUGGUCAGGCUGGUCUUGAACUCCUGGCCUCAAGUGAUCCACCCUCUUGGGACUUGCAAAGUGCUGAGAUUACAGACAUGAGCCACCACACCAGGCCAGAAAUUAUUAAUAUUUAUCUAUCAAAAAAUGCACUUUUAGAUUCAGAUUGUUUCCUAUUUGAAUACAGUUGCAGAAGCAUCUUGUCAGAUACUUUCCCAUGGCAUUAAUAGGUAGCUAGCUUUCUUUGUUGUAAGGUAUAGAAAUAUGAUUGCUAAUGCCUGAGGUUGUGUUUCCUAAGGUGAAUGAAUUUUUUUGAGGUUUUGUAGACUUCAAAUUGGGAGAUCCAUAAGGUGAUGAAAUAGAAAGUUAAACUAUUUUCAUUUUUUUUGAGUAGUUUUCACUUGCUUUCUCCAUUUUCUUGUACCUCAUCUUGUCUGUAACUACUUGUAAAUGCAACUUUUACCUGCAGCCCCUGAAAAGUAAUUGCUCAUAGGUUCCUGAUUUCUUAUAAUAACCAAAUCAAUUAAUUGGCAUUUUUUUUUCUGUUCUCAUUGUGCUUAUUCAUUAGAUAGAAUCGGAUUCUGUUAAUCUUCAUGAAGGAUCUCAUCUCUUUGCUUCCCUUAUACUGUAUUUUCUCUUUAUCUCUUGAGCAGUACCUCUUUUCCCUUCCUUACUGGCUCAAAUUCUUACUUCUAUGCCCAACUACCUGUAUCUCAGGAUCAACUUUUUCUAACAUUUCUAUUGUCAUUAUCAGUCAAUUCACAUUCGGAUGGCUCUUAUUCAGUUUUUUUGUCUUUACCACCAUAAUUAAAUGAUUCUGAAAUCUGUUUUGUUCCUUGAUCUGUUUUCCUGCACCUCUUAGUCUUACUAAUGAGAAUCUUCACCUGGUUGCCUUGUUGUCUCCUUUAACUUCUGGUGUGUCCAAAAUCAAAGUCUUCAUCUUAGAACAAACUUCAUGGCCUUCCUUGAUUUUGUUAUUGGUACUGGUAUUAUUAUUCAUGUAGCCCCAUUUUAAUGAUCAUUGACUCUCUUAUCCCUGUUCAGUUUAUUUAGGCACACAGUUCCUGUUCUAACUUUGAUUAACAGUUUGGGCUGGGCGUGAUGGCUCACGCUUGUAAUCCAGCACUUUGGGAGACUGAGGAGGAUGGAUUGCUUGAGCCCAGGAGUUUGAGAUCAGCCUGGGCAACAUGGUGAAACCGUGUCUCUACUAAAAAUAAAAAUUAGCUGGUGGCUCAUGCUUGUAAUUCCAGCACUUUGGGAGGCUGAGGUGGGUGGAUUAUGAGGUCAGGAGAUCAAGACCAUCCUGGCGAACGUGGUGAAACCCUAUCUCUACUUUAAAAAAAAAUACAAAAAUAUUAGCUGGGCAUGGUGGCACGUGUCUGUAGUCCCAGCUGCUUGGGAGGCUGAGAUAGGAGAAUUAAUUGCUUGAACCUGGGUGCAGUGAGCCGAGAUUGUACCAGUGCACUCCAGCCUGGGCAACAGAGCAAGACUGUCUCAAAAAAAAAAAAAAAAUUAACGAGGUGUGGUGUCGAAUGGCUGUGGUCCCAGCUACUCAGGAGGAUGAGGUGGAAGGAGGGCUUGAGCCAGGGAGGCAGAGGUUGCACUAAACUGAGAUGGUGUCACUGUACUCCGGCCUAGGUGAUAGAGCCAGAGCUUAUCUCAAAAUAAAACGAAACACAACAGAACAAAACACCACACACAGUUUGGGAAAUGCUGGUUUUUACAAAAUUGAGGUUGGUUGAUUUGUUAUUUACUUAAUUCAUUUACUGAAUUGGCCUAAGAGCAGGAGGAGGUUCUUAUUUCUUUAAUAGAAGUUUUGUGGUGACUGUGGUUUAAAAGAAGGUGUCAUGGCACUGUGGAAGGCCUUUUAAAGGUGUUGGUGCUUGAGCAUCACCGAGAUGCUGACCUUUUCUGAUAUUACUUCCUGCUAAUUGGAGAGGUACCACUUCAAUCCAGGCACCUGUUUUUACAUUAACGCAGCGGCUUCAGUGUGAGGCAGUUCAUUCCAAAGAGACAUGAAAAAUGUUUGGCAGAGUGGAUACACACAUACAACUCAACUUUUAUGUUUAACUGUGCCCUUAGUUUCCAAGCAUAGUUUCCCCCCUAAUUUAUCAAUAUCAGAACCCUCUGGAAAGUCUUCUAUCGUGAGACCUGUUAUAUCUAAUUAACUUUUUUUAUUCCCCUGCACAUCUGAAACCUGGCAUGCCCAUUUGCUAUCACUGUCCACAGUAGACAUGUUUCUUGGCAAAUUUUAAGGGCAGAGGUUGCUGAAAUUCUUUUUGUGUGCGUCUUAUGAUUGCUAAAUCAGAAACUUUUUAUAUGGAUAAGCUGGCACUUGCAGUACCAGUGCUUAGUGAAAGAAGAAAACAGGGAAGAAGAGGAGGCGAGAACAACCCCUGGACCGACCGAAGCCCACGCGCAGCUGCAUCCCGCGCCCAGCGCCUAUGUCCUGCCGCCGUCGCCACCAUGCCGAAGAGAAAGGCUGAAGGGGAUGCUAACGGAGAUAAAGCCAAGGUGAAGGACGAACCACAGAGAAGAUCUGCGAGGUAGUCUGCUAAACCUGCUCCUCCAAAGCCAGAGCCCAAGCCUAAAAAGGCCCCUGCAAAGAAGGGAGAGAAGGUACCCAAAGGGAAAAAGGGAAAAGCUGAUGCUGGCAAGGAAGGGAAUAACACUGCAGAAGAUGGAGAUGCCAAAACAGACCAGGCACAGAAAGCUGAAGGUGCUGGAGAUGCCAAGUGAAGUGUGUGCAUUUUUGAUAACUGUGUACUUCUGGUGACUGUACAGUUUGAAAUACUAUUUUUUAUCAAGUUUUAUAAAAAUGCAGAAUUUUGUUUUACUUUUUUUUUUUUUUUUAAGCUAUGUUGUUAGCACACAG